CCUACGGGUGGCUGCAGUGAGGAAUAUUGGUCAAUGGGCGCGAGCCUGAACCAGCCAAGUCGCGUGAGGGAUGACGGUCCUACGGAUUGUAAACCUCUUUUGCCGGGGAGCAAGCUUACGUUCGUGAACGCGCCUCGAGAGUCCCCAGCGAAAAAGCAUCGGCUACCUCCGUGCCAGCAGCCGCGGUAAUACGGAGGAUGCGAGCGUUAUCCGGAUUUAUUGGGUUUAAAGGGUGCGUAGGCGGGAUGCCAAGUCAGCGGUAAAAAUGCGGUGCUCAACGCCGUCGAGCCGUCGAAACUGGCGUUCUGGAGUGGGCGAGAAGUAUGCGGAAUGCGUGGUGUAGCGGUGAAAUGCAUAGAUAUCACGCAGAACUCCGAUUGCGAAGGCAGCAUACCGGCGCCCGACUGACGCUGAGGCACGAAAGCGUGGGUAUCGAACAGGAUUAGAUACCCGGGUAGUC
rnacentral:rRNA from 1 species